rnacentral:rRNA from 1 species
AGUGAACGCUGGCGGUAGGCCUAACACAUGCAAGUCGAACGGCAGCACAGGAGAGCUUGCUCUCUGGGUGGCGAGUGGCGGACGGGUGAGGAAUACAUCGGAAUCUACUCUGUCGUGGGGGAUAACGUAGGGAAACUUACGCUAAUACCGCAUACGACCUACGGGUGAAAGCAGGGGACCUUCGGGCCUUGCGCGAUUGAAUGAGCCGAUGUCGGAUUAGCUAGUUGGCGGGGUAAAGGCCCACCAAGGCGACGAUCCGUAGCUGGUCUGAGAUGAUGGUCAGCCACACUGGAACUGUGACAGAGUCCAGACUCCUACGGGAGGCAGCAGUGGGGAAUAUUGGACAAUGGGCGCAAGCCUGAUCCAGCCAUACCGCGUGGGUGAAGAAGGCCUUCGGGUUGUAAAGCCCUUUUGUUGGGAAAGAAAUCCAGCUGGCUAAUACCCGGUUGGGAUGACGGUACCCAAAGAAUCAGCACCGGCUAACUUCGUGCCAGCCGCCGCGGUAA